rnacentral:misc_RNA from 1 species
CCCCCCCCCCCCCCCCCCCCAACCUCUGUGAAUUGAGAGAAACGUUUUUCUUUUGGGAAACCUGUUCAAUCAUGGGAAACGUGUGUAACUAGAUGAGUUAUGUUUUUAGCGUUAAUUAAUUACAUGUCAUAGCUGUUAUUUAGAUGUCUUUUUAUAAACCCAUCAACAGUUAAUACAAGGAGAGGCAAAAUGAUGAAGUAUAUACUGUCAGGAAGCAAUUUAUGUGUGUCUCUGAAGUUCUGUGAUCAUUUAAAAUAUCAGUUAAGAGACUUUGAAUAGCUUGUUAUGUUUCCUUUCGCAAGUAGCAAAAGGGAAGAUCAAGUAAAAUCAUUUCAGACAAAAAUAAAUUGGCAAAUAAAGGGAAAAUUUUGCAAGACUUAAUAUGGCUGUUGGUUGAAAUCAGAGCCUGAAUUAAUAAAGUUUGAGUAAAAUGGCAAGUGGGUUUGGUUGUUUAUUUUGCUAAAAGUGUUUUUAGUUCUUUAUGUUGUUGGUUGCAGGAUUUUUUUUUGUUUGAGACUAUGGUGCAAUUGUUGAGUUAAUAAGCAUAGGUUUGCAAGUCUAAGCUCAUGUUACCAUCUGAGAAAGAUUUUGUGAAAUUAUAUAUUUUCUGAGUUGGAAUUUGUUGGUUGUUUUGCUAUAUUUGUUUUCUUUUAUUGUUUGCCUUAACCUGCAGCCAGCUAUUUCAUGUUCUUAUUUUUGUUCAUAUGUAUGCAUCCUCAUCAUUUUUAUCUUUGUUGUUAUAAUUAGUGAUCUUGAUGUGCAUUAAGUCAACCAAUGCAUAAUUUUAGAUAUUA